GUGCAUUAGGAGUUUAAGAUACUAGCAAGAAAUCAUGAAGUUGGAUUAGAAAUUAGAUUUCAAGUUGAAGAUUUUCUGUCUAAAGAUUGAUAGAAUUGAGUCUAGAAUGAAUGAGAUAUGGCUAGUUAAAACUAGCAAACUAAAACCAAGGUUUUGAAGAAAUUAGAAAAAUAGAGGGUUUUGGUUUUUAGCUAGAACUUGAGCUUCAAGAUGAAUUUGAAGCUCAUUUUUUUGUAUACAUGUUACUUAUAAUAUAAAAAGCUUAUGUCUAAAAUCUCAUAUCAAUUGAGACUCUGACUUGGGAGAAAUGGCAAAAUUUGUUCUCAUGUGUCUAGGGUUUUGAUUUUCAAAAGUACUUGAUAAGGAUUUGGUGAUAUUAGUCGAUU
rnacentral:lncRNA from 1 species